rnacentral:rRNA from 1 species
CUAGAUAGAAAAUAGGUGCCCGUACCGCAAACCGACACAGGUAGUCAAGAUGAGAAUUCUAAGGUGAGCGAGCGAACUCUCGUUAAGGAACUCGGCAAAAUGACCCCGUAACUUCGGGAGAAGGGGUGCUCUUUAGGGUUAACGCCCAGAAGAGCCGCAGUGAAUAGGCCCAAGCGACUGUUUAUCAAAAACACAGGUCUCUGCUAAACCGUAAGGUGAUGUAUAGGGGCUGACGCCUGCCCGGUGCUGGAAGGUUAAGAGGAGUGGUUAGCUUCUGCGAAGCUACGAAUCGAAGCCCCAGUAAACGGCGGCCGUAACUAUAACGGUCCUAAGGUAGCGAAAUUCCUUGUCGGGUAAGUUCCGACCCGCACGAAAGGCGUAACGAUUUGGGCACUGUCUCAACGAGAGACUCGGUGAAAUCAUAGUACCUGUGAAGAUGCAGGUUACCCGCGACAGGACGGAAAGACCCCGUGGAGCUUUACUGUAGCCUGAUAUUGAAAUUCGGCACAGCUUGUACAGGAUAGGUAGGAGCCUUUGAAACGUGAGCGCUAGCUUACGUGGAGGCGCUGGUGGGAUACUACCCUAGCUGUGUUGGCUUUCUAACCCGCACCACUUAUCGUGGUGGGAGACAGUGUCAGGCGGGCAGUUUGACUGGGGCGGUCGCCUCCUAAAAGGUAACGGAGGCGCUCAAAGGUUCCCUCAGAAUGGUUGGAAAUCAUUCAUAGAGUGUAAAGGCAUAAGGGAGCUUGACUGCGAGACCUACAAGUCGAGCAGGGUCGAAAGACGGACUUAGUGAUCCGGUGGUUCCGCAUGGAAGG